rnacentral:lncRNA from 11 species
UUUCUCCCGGUCUUCUAAUCUGUAGCUCUAGCUCAGCCAAGGAAGCUGUGACGCAGCAAUCUUGCCUGCCUGCGGAAUCUCACUCCCAACCCACCCUCUCUCUGCAGAUCCCGAAAUGAGCCACGAGGUGCCCGUGAACGCUCUUUUAAUUCAGGUCGUACCAGCCCCUCCCCUAGUACACAUGUAUCAUGUAAUGGGCUCCAUUCAGCUGAUCCAAAAAGCUGCAACCAGGUUACUAACUGGGGAUGGCUACAGGGAGCAGACAACCCCCCUUUUGCAGCAGCUUCACAGACUGCCAAUCAGACUGACAAAUUCAAAGAACACCAAAGAAAUGGGCAAAGCAGUAGACAUUUAUCCAAGUUCAGCCUGA